rnacentral:rRNA from 1 species
UCUUAGUUGCCAGCAUUCAGUUGGGCACUCUAAGGUGACUGCCGGUGACAAACCGGAGGAAGGUGGGGAUGACGUCAAAUCAUCAUGCCCCUUAUGACCUGGGCUACACACGUGCUACAAUGGGCAGAACAAAGGGCAGCGAAGCCGCGAGGCUAAGCCAAUCCCACAAAUCUGUUCUCAGUUCGGAUCGCAGUCUGCAACUCGACUGCGUGAAGCUGGAAUCGCUAGUAAUCGCGGAUCAGCAUGCCGCGGUGAAUACGUUCCCGGGCCUUGUACACACCGCCCGUCACACCACGAGAGUUUGUAACACCCGAAGUCGGUGAGGUAACCUUUUGGAGCCAGCCGCCGAAGGUGGGACAGAUGAUUGGGGUGAAGUCGUAACAAGGUAGCCGUAUCGGAAGGUGCGGCUGGAUCACCUCCUUUCUA